AACGAACGCUGGCGGCAUGCCUAACACAUGCAAGUCGAACGAGACCUUCGGUCCAAGGGCGCAAGGGUGCGUAAAGCCGUGGAAACUGCCCUUAGGGUCGGGAAAAACCCCCGAAAGGGGUGCUAAUACCGGGAAAAGUCCUCGGACCAAAGAUUUAUCGCCUUUGGAUGGGCCCGCGUUGGAUUAGCUAGUUGGUAGGGGAAAAGCCUACCAAGGCGACGAUCCAUAGCUGGUCUGAGAGGAUGAUCAGCCACACUGGGACUGAGACACGGCCCAGACUCCUACGGGAGGCAGCAGUGGGGAAUAUUGGACAAUGGGCGAAAGCCUGAUCCAGCAAUGCCGCGUGAGUGAUGAAGGCCUUAGGGUUGUAAAGCUCUUUUACCCGGGAUGAUAAUGACAGUACCGGGAGAAUAAGCUCCGGCUAACUCCGUG
rnacentral:rRNA from 1 species